rnacentral:rRNA from 1 species
GAUGAACGCUGGCGGCGUGCCUAAUACAUGCAAGUCGAGCGAACAGACGAGGAGCUUGCUCCUCUGACGUUAGCGGCGGACGGGUGAGUAACACGUGGAUAACCUACCUAUAAGACUGGGAUAACUUCGGGAAACCGGAGCUAAUACCGGAUAAUAUAUUGAACCGCAUGGUUCAAUAGUGAAAGACGGUUUUGCUGUCACUUAUAGAUGGAUCCGCGCCGCAUUAGCUAGUUGGUAAGGUAACGGCUUACCAAGGCGACGAUGCGUAGCCGACCUGAGAGGGUGAUCGGCCACACUGGAACUGAGACGCGGUCCAGACUCCUACGGGAGGCAGCAGUAGGGAAUCUUCCGCAAUGGGCGAAGGCCUGACGGAGCAACGCCGCGUGAGUGAUGAAGGUCUUCGGAUCGUAAAACUCUGUUAUUAGGGAAGAACAAAUGUGUAAGUAACUAUGCACGUCUUGACGGUACCUAAUCAGAAAGCCACGGCUAACUACGUG